UACGGAGGGGGCUAGCGUUGUUCGGAAUUACUGGGCGUAAAGCGCACGUAGGCGGCUUUGUAAGUUAGAGGUGAAAGCCCAGGGCUUAACCCUGGAAUUGCCUUUAAGACUGCAUCGCUAGAAUCGUGGAGAGGUGAGUGGAAUUCCGAGUGUAGAGGUGAAAUUCGUAGAUAUUCGGAAGGAACACCAGUGGCGAAGGCGACUCACUGGACACGAUUGACGCUGAGGUGCGAAAAGCGUGGGGAGCAAACAGG
rnacentral:rRNA from 1 species